AUUGAACGCUGGCGGCAUGCCUAACACAUGCAAGUCGAGCGGCAGCGCGGGGGCAACCCUGGCGGCGAGCGGCGACGGGUGAGUAAGGCAUCGGAAUCUGCCCUGAUNUGGGGGAUAACGUAGGGAAACUUACGCUAAUACCGCAUACGACCGAGAGGUGAAAGCGGGGGACCGAAAGGCCUCGCGCAGCAGGAUGAGCCGAUGUCCGAUUAGCUAGUUGGUGGGGUAAAGGCCUACCAAGGCGACGAUCGGUAGCUGGUCUGAGAGGAUGAUCAGCCACACUGGGACUGAGACACGGCCCAGACUCCUACGGGAGGCAGCAGUGGGGAAUAUUGGACAAUGGGGGCAACCCUGAUCCAGCAAUGCCGCGUGUGUGAAGAAGGCCUUCGGGUUGUAAAGCACUUUUAUCGGGAACGAAACACCGUGGGUUAAUACCCUGCGGGACUGACGGUACCCGAGGAAUAAGCACCGGCUAACUCCGUG
rnacentral:rRNA from 1 species